rnacentral:rRNA from 1 species
CAUGCAAGUCGAGGGGCAGCAUGGUCUUAGCUUGCUAAGGCCGAUGGCGACCGGCGCACGGGUGAGUAACGCGUAUCCAACCUGCCUUACACUCUUGGACAGCCUUCUGAAAGGGAGAUUAAUACAAGAUGUUAUCAUGAGUAAGCAUUUUCGCAUGAUUAAAGGUUUACCGGUGUAAGAUGGGGAUGCGUUCCAUUAGAUAGUAGGCGGGGUAACGGCCCACCUAGUCUUCGAUGGAUAGGGGUUCUGAGAGGAAGGUCCCCCACAUUGGAACUGAGACACGGUCCAAACUCCUACGGGAGGCAGCAGUGAGGAAUAUUGGUCAAUGGACGAGAGUCUGAACCAGCCAAGUAGCGUGAAGGAUGAAGGUUCUAUGGAUUGUAAACUUCUUUUAUACGGGAAUAAACGGAUCCACGUGUGGAUUUUUGCAUGUACCGUAUGAAUAAGGAUCGGCUAACUCCGUGCCAGCAGCCGCGGUAAUACGGAGGAUCCGAGCGUUAUCCGGAUUUAUUGGGUUUAAAGGGAGCGUAGAUGGGUUGUUAAGUCAGUUGUGAAAGUUUGCGGCUCAACCGUAAAAUUGCAAUUGAUACUGGCAGUCUUGAGUACAGUUGAGGUAGGCGGAAUUCGUGGUGUAGCGGUGAAAUGCUUAGAUAUCACGAAGAACUCCGAUUGCGAAGGCAGCUUACUAACCUGUAACUGACAUUGAUGCUCGAAAGUGUGGGUAUCAAACAGGAUUAGAUACCCUGGUAGUCCACACGGUAAACGAUGAAUACUCGCUGUAGGCGAUAUACAGUCUGCGGCCAAGCGAAAGCAUUAAGUAUUCCACCUGGGGAGUACGCCGGCAACGGUGAAACUCAAAGGAAUUGACGGGGGCCCGCACAAGCGGAGGAACAUGUGGUUUAAUUCGAUGAUACGCGAGGAACCUUACCCGGGCUUAAAUUGCAACCGAAUAUGGCGGAAACGCUAUAGCUAGCAAUAGCGGUUGUGAAGGUGCUGCAUGGUUGUCGUCAGCUCGUGCCGUGAGGUGUCGGCUUAAGUGCCAUAACGAGCGCAACCCUUGCCGAUAGUUACUAACAGGUUAUGCUGAGGACUCUGUCGGGACUGCCAUCGUAAGAUGUGAGGAAGGUGGGGAUGACGUCAAAUCAGCACGGCCCUUACGUCCGGGGCUACACACGUGUUACAAUGGGGGGUACAGAGGGCUGCUACCACGCAAGUGGAUGCCAAUCCCAAAAACCUCUCUCAGUUCGGAUUGAAGUCUGCAACCCGACUUCAUGAAGCUGGAUUCGCUAGUAAUCGCGCAUCAGCCACGGCGCGGUGAAUACGUUCCCGGGCCUUGUACACACCGCCCGUCAAGCCAUGGGAGCCGGGGGUACCUGAAGUGCGUAACCGCA